rnacentral:tRNA from 1 species
UCCCGUGUGGCUCGGUUGGUAGAGCAUGGUGUUUGCAACGCCAGGGUUGUGGGUUCGAUUCCCAACGGGGGGC